rnacentral:rRNA from 1 species
UCGGGAAUUUUGGGCAGUGGGCGAAAGCCUGACCCAGCAACGCCGCGUGAGGGAUGAAGUAUUUCGGUAUGUAAACCUCGAAAGAAUGGGAAGAAUAAAUGACGGUACCAUUUAUAAGCUCCGGCUAACUACGUGCCAGCAGCCGCGGUAAUACGUAGGGAGCAAGCGUUGUUCGGAUUUACUGGGCGUAAAGGGCGCGUAGGCGGCGCGGUAAGUCACUUGUGAAAUCUCUGAGCUUAACUCAGAACGGCCAAGUGAUACUGCUGAGCUAGAGUGCGGAAGAGGCAACCGGAAUUCUUGGUGUAGCGGUGAAAUGCGUAGAUAUCAAGAGGAACACCUGAGGCGAAGGCGGGUUGCUGGGCCGACACUGACGCUGAUGCGCGAAAGCCAGGGGAGCAAACG